UUUAUAUUAUAUAUAUAUAUUCAUAUAUAUAAUAAUAUAUCAAUUAUUUAUAUGGAUAUAUUAUUUAUAUAUAUAUAUUAUAUCAAUUAUUUAUAUUAUAAAUAUGUAUAAUAUAAAAUACAUUGGUAUUUUUGCGACGGUUCUAGAAAAUUACAAAUAUUUGCUUAAUUGUACUUAAUUAGCAUCGUGGGUUUUUUUAUGUGAUCUAAAGCUUUUCGUACAUUUGAGCUGUAUCGGGACAUUUAAAAAGUCAUUAAACAAUACCUUUAAAACCACAUGAUAAAAGAUUUAAAGUUAACUUGUUUCUCAGUUUGUUUAAAAUCCUGAAAUUGACGUGUUUGAUAAAGUUUUUACGCUUUCACUCGUUUUGCCUCUAUUUUCUGUGUCAGGUCACAAGCCGUCUUAUUCCAUCUUUUUUUCUCCAAAAUUAUCAAAUUUAGAUUCCCAUUAAUAUAUAUAUAUAUAUAUAAUAUUUAAAAAAUUUCAAUUCAUGUCUUAUUUUUACAUUAUUUAAAAGUUAAAUAAAAAACCUCCAUUGUUACCAUGAGUUUCAUCUUCAUUGUUUUUGGAGCAGCUUGUCAAAACUUUUUAUUAUGAAACCUAAAGUCUGUCAGAGCGGAGACAAAGUGUUUCUUUACUUUCUCUUUAUUCUCAGGUUGCGCAAGUCUUACAGCUCUGUUUGUUCUGCUUAUCAGCCUGGACACACAGGAAUAUAUGUUUGCAUCAAAAUGUACACACAAUUUGUUUAACGUCAUCGUUAUUAUUCAGAUUUGUAAAAUGUUAGGAAAAAUAAUUGAAUAUUCCAUCAUAAAAAUGUUAAUUUUGCACACAAAUCUCAGCAACUCUUCUGAUUGGCUCAUGUCUUUUAAGCUCUCUUUCUAUUAAGAGAUUAAAACAUUUUCAGAUUUGUUCCCAGCUUUGCAUCUCAUUUAAUGCAUUUUCUAGUUAAUUUGUCAACCAACUCAUUUUGUGCCCCAAUAGUUAUGUUAAUUGUUAUCUUUUCCCCUUAAACACGGACAUGGGAGAAGUUGAGCAGCAUUAUUGAAACUGUAUCUGUGAGUACAUGAACGAUUAGACAAUUGAUUUAAACAUAAGAUAUCAAUAAUAUCAUUAAAGGAAGUCAGCUAGUCAUUUCGACUUAAUGGUGCACGGUGGUGAAGUGGCUAGCACUGUCGCCUCACAGCAAGAAGGCCGUGGGUUAAAUUCCCGGUUGGGGCGGUUCUUCUGUGUGGAGGCAGCAUGUUCUCCCCGUGGCAGCGUGGGUUCCCUCUGGGUUCCCUCUGGGUUCUCCGGCUUCCUCCCAGUCCAAAGACAUGCCGUCAGGUUAAUUGAUGUCUAAAUUGCCCAUAGGUAUGGUUGUGUGUCUCUGUGUGCCCUGAGAUGGACUGGCGGCCUGUCCAUUGUGUCCCCUGCCUUCGCUCUAUCUCAGCUGGGAUCGGCUCCAGCGCCCUGCGACCCGAAUGAGGAUGAAGCGGGAGCUGCUGAUGAGACCAUGUGACCCGAGGACCACGUGGGAUUAACAACAAGCCGGUCCAGAACUCAGUCUGUAGUAGUAAACCGUAAUUCUGCAGACAUAGCGGGUUUUCCACACACCUGUUCUUCACGAUCCAGAACUUCUUCCCGUCCACAUCCUCU